AGUGAACGCUGGCGGUAGGCCUAACACAUGCAAGUCGAACGGCAGCACAGUAAGAGCUUGCUCUUACGGGUGGCGAGUGGCGGACGGGUGAGGAAUACAUCGGAAUCUACUUUUUCGUGGGGGAUAACGUAGGGAAACUUACGCUAAUACCGCAUACGACCUACGGGUGAAAGCAGGGGAUCUUCGGACCUUGCGCGAUUGAAUGAGCCGAUGUCGGAUUAGCUAGUUGGCGGGGUAAAGGCCCACCAAGGCGACGAUCCGUAGCUGGUCUGAGAGGAUGAUCAGCCACACUGGAACUGAGACACGGUCCAGACUCCUACGGGAGGCAGCAGUGGGGAAUAUUGGACAAUGGGCGCAAGCCUGAUCCAGCCAUACCGCGUGGGUGAGGAAGGCCUUCGGGUUGUAAAGCCCUUUUGUUGGGAAAGAAAAGCAGCAGGUUAAUACCCCGCUGUCCUGACGGUACCCAAAGAAUAAGCACCGGCUAACUUCGUG
rnacentral:rRNA from 1 species